rnacentral:rRNA from 1 species
GUAAAAAUAAUAAUAAUAAUUAAAAGUAAUGAUAAUAGAUUUGAAAUAAUUAUAAUAUAGAUUUAAAGAGAUAAUCAUAGAAUACAAUAAAUCAUAAUCUAUAUAUAUAUAUAAAUAUAUAUAUAAUAUGAUAAAUUAUUAAUUACUUUAUAAUAAGUACAUAUUUAUAAUAUAUAAAUAUGAGUAAAUAGGUUACUAAUAAAAUAUACAAUAUAUUUUUAAUACCUAAGGUAAACCAUAUAUAAUAUAAAUAAUAUUAUAAAAAAUAACUUAGUGAACUGAAACAUCUAAUUAACUAAAGGAAUAAAAAUCAACAGAGAUAUUAUAAGUAUCGGUGAGAGAAAAUAAUAUAGUCUAUAAGUAUUAUGUAUAAUAUAUAAGAAUAAUAUAAUAAAGGGUAUACAAUAUCUAAGACUAAAUACUAUUAAUAAAUAUAAAAAGUACCGAAAGGGAAAGUAUAAUAAAAUGGUUAUUUUAUAAGCAAUCAUAAAUAAUAAUAUAACAUUAUUAAUGAUGUACCUUUUGUAUAAUGGGUCAGCAAGUAAUAUAUAUAUGCAAAAAUAAUUUAUAAUUAAUAUGUAUUUAAUAAGUAUAUAUAUAUUGACCCGAAAGCUAAUGAUCUUACCAUGAUAAGAUAUAUAAAUGAUCGAACAGGUUGAUGUUGCAAUAUCAUCUGAAUAAUUGUGGUAUGAUAGUGAAAGACUUAACUGAUUAGCAGAUAGCUGGUUUUCUAUGAAAUAUAUAUAAGUAUAGCUUUCAAUAAUCAAUUAUAAUAAUUAUAUAUAAUUUUAAUAUAUAUAUAUAAUGUAUGGUACAGCUAUUAAUAUAAAUUAAUAUAUAUAUAUAUUUAUAUAUAUAUAUAUUAUGAAUUAGGGAACUAUAAUAGUUUUAUUAAUAAUAUUAAAUCUCGAAAUAUAUUAUUAUAAUAUUGAAAAGUCAGAUUAUAUGCGAUAAGGUAAAUAAUCAAAAGGGAAACAGCCCAGAUUAAUAUAUAAGGUUCCAAAUAAUAUAAUAAGUGAAAUAAAUAUUUUAAUAUUAUAAUUCAAUCAGUUAAUGGGUUUGAUAAUAACUAUUUUUUAAUGAACAUGUAACAAUGCACUGAUAUAUAUAUAAAAUAAUAUUAUAAAAUAAAUAUAUAUAAUAAUAUAUAUAUAUUUAUAAAAUAUAUAAUAUACGGAUCUUACAGCCCCCGGGCGAAUGAUCCGUCCCCCCCUCCGGAGGGACGGAUCUUAUUUAUUUAUUUAUAAAAAUUUAUUUAUUUAUAAAUUAAUAAUAAUUAUAAAACCGAAUAUUUAAAUAUUAUUAUUAAUAUAACAAUAAUAAUAAUAUGGUAAUAGAACAUCUAAUGAAAUAAUAUAUAAAUGUUUUCAUUUAUAUAUAAUAUAUAAAUAUUAAUAUAUAUAAAUUAAUUAGAUAGAGAAUGCUGACAUGAGUAACGAUAAAAAGGUUUAUAAUCCUUUUCACCUAAAACAUAAGGUUUAAUAAUAAAAGUACGGCCCCUAAUUAAUAUAUGAAUAUAAUUAUAUAUAAGAUGGGAUAAUACUAAAUAAUUAAUAAAAAUUUUAAUAUAUAUUAUAAUAUUAAAUAUUAUAAUAAAUUAUAUAUUUAUUUUAUAUUAAUUUAUAAAAUAUUAACAAGAAAAUAAAUUAUAAAUACCGUAAUGUAAACCGACACAGGUAUGUAAGUAGAGAAUAUGAAGGUGUAUUAGUGAAUUAUGGAUAAGGAACUCGGCAAAAAUAGUUCUAAAGUUAGAUAAGAUAAUAAAAACAAAGUUGUACAACUGUUUACUAAAAACACAGCACUUUGCAGAAAUGUAAAUUAAAGUAUAAGGUGUGAAUUCUGCUCCAUGUUUAACAUAUAAAAUAUAUAACUAUAAGGUUAUAUAUAUAAGUUUAAUCAAAUAGCAGCCUUAUUAUGAGGGUUAUAAUGUAGCGAAAUUCAUUGUCUACUAAAUAUAGUCCUGCAUGAAUGAAGUAAUGAUACAACAACUGUCUCAUCCAUAAGCUAAGUGAAAUUGAAAUCGUAGUGAAGAGGCUAUGUAUUUAUAGUUAGACGAAAAGACCCUAUGCAGCUUUACUGUAGUUAGACAGAUCGAAUAAUUAUAUAUUAUAUUCAGAAUAUUAAGUAUAUAUAUAAAAUAUAAUAUAUUUUAUAUAAUUGUUUAAAUAAAAAUGAGAUGCUUAUUGUAAUAUAAUAAUUAUUCUAAACUUAAUAAUAUAAUAUUUAAUGAUAAAAUUCUUAAAUAUGGUAUAUAUAUAUAAUAUUUUUAUUAUUAUAUAUAUAUAUAAUAAGUGACAAUCUCUAAUUGGUAGUUUAGAUGGGGCGUCUUGUUCAGCAAAAGUAUCUGAAUCAGUCCAUAUAUAAUAAUAUUAUAUAAUUGAAAAAUAAAAUAUAUAUUAUAUAUAUUAAUAAUAAAAAAUAAUAUUUAUAUUUAUAUAUAUAUAUUUAUAUAUAUAUUUAUAUAUUUAUUAUAAUAAUAGAAUAGAUAUGUACAGUAUAAAUUGUCUGGAAAACAAUAAUUAAUUAAUUAAAAAAAUAUAAUGGUAUAACUGUGCUAUAAUUAUAACACAAACAAGUGAAAUAAGUACGUAAGUAUGGCAUAAUGAACAAAUAAUACUAAUUGUAAAGAUUAUUGAUAACGAAUAAAAGUUACGCUAGGGAUAACAGGGUAAUAUAACAAAAGAGUGGAUAUUGUAAGUUAUGUUUGCCACCUCGAUGUCGACUCAACCUAUCCUCUUGGUUGUAAAAUCUAAGAAGGGUUUGACUGUUCGUCAAUUAAAAGGUUACGUGAGUUGGGUUAAAUACGAUGUGAAUCAGUAUGGUUUCUAUCUACUAUAAAUAAUAUUAUCAAAUUAAGCCUCAUUAUUAGUACGCAAGGACCAUAAUGAAUUAACCUAUGGUGUAUCUAUUGAUUAUAUAAAAUAAUAUAAUAUAUUUUAUAUUAUUUAAAUAUUAAUUUAUAUUUUAUAUAUAGUCAUAGUAGAUAAGCUAAGUUAAUAAAUAAUAAAUAUUGAAUACAUAUGAAAUAUGAAGUAGUCUUAAUAAUAAGAUAAUAAUAAUAAUAAAUAUUAUAAAUAAUAUUUAUUAAAUUGAUAAUUUUAUACUAAAAUAUAAUUAUAUAUAUAUAUAAUAUAUAUAUAUAUAAUAAAAUAGGU